UUUAAGCGUUUUGAUUUUUCUCUGAAUGUUUUUCUUGCCCAUGUCUGUUUCUUGAGUUUUUGCAGUUCAAAUUACAAUUCUUGUGUGUAAGAGAUGUGAGACACAUAGAAAAUAUUUUUUACUGCAGAUUUCAAUGUUUUGAAUUCUGUUAUUAACUAUUGUGAUUUGAAUGCACAAGGAUUCUGUUGUUAUUAUCACUGUGAUCGCAAAGAGAGUAAUUCUGAUGCUUUUAAUUGGUAACCUUUCUAGAUCCUGUUAGGUGAGGAAUAGUGUGUUUGUCCACUAGAUGUAUUGAUUCAAAUAUUGAAAAGUGAAGAAUUGGAAUUCUUCUUCUGGUAGUUAAUCUUACUCUUGAUAUAAAUAUUACCAAAUGAGCUUAAAUGGAGACUCAGGCUAGGGAGAGUGUAGUUUCUUAAUAACUGAUUUAUUUUUGUUUUAAUUUUAAAUCACCUUUAAGGAGUUAAAAUUUAUACACAAGAAAAUACACCCACUAAAAACUUCUUUCCAGAUAAUUUCAUAUUCAAACAGUUGCAAAGAUGGUACAAGGACUUUCCAUAUAUCCUUUGUUCAACUUCACCUAACAUUAAGAUUUAAAUAGCCAUGAUAGAGUUAGCGAAGCUGAGAGAUUGGCAGGGGCAACUGUUACCAUCUCAACUAGAAUCUGCAUCUGAGUUCUGUCAGUUCUCCUCCUACUGUCUCCUUCCUAUUCCUGAGCCCCACUUUGCAUUCAUUUGUCUUGUCUCCUCCACUGGCGAUUCCAUAGUCUUUCCUUGUGUUUUAUGACCUUGGCAUUUGUCUUUUUAAUUUUUAUUUAUUUGAAGAGAGAGCGAGAGAGCGUCCCCAGCUGCUGGUUCGCUCCCCACAUGCUGGCAGUGAAGCCAGAAGCCAGGAACUCAAUCUCAUACCCCACAUGGGUGGCAAGAACCAGUGCUCGAGGCAUCACUGCUGCCUUCUGGGUCUCCACUAGCAGGAAGCUGGAGUCGGGAGCCGGAGCUGGGCGCCAAACCCAGGCACUGUGGUAGGGGACGCAGCCACCUUAAUCACUGUGCUCAAUGGCCGCCCUGAUUUUGGCAUUUUUGACAAGAAUUGGUCAGUUAUUUUGUAGAAUACACUUCAAUUUGGAUUUAUCUUGUGUUUUCUCACCAUUUCUCCAAAGUUAAGCAUUUCUAGCAGGAAUACCACAUUUGCACCUACUUUAAGUGCACGGUGUGCUGAGUUUAGGAAAGUUUACAGUCAUUGCAAUGACUGUCCCGGAUGUCAGAUAUCUGCUGUCAGAAGCAACCUCUCCAUGAAGUUCACUUGUGCCGCUCUGCCCUCUGCUGCUGGCCCAGACCAGCAGCCUGCCCUCUGGCACUGUACAUGAGCCUUGUCUCCCAUCAGCGGAGUGAUACAUAUGUGCCUCUCUUCCAUCUGGCCUAGGAGUUUGCAGCUCACACUGGCGUAUGUAAGGGAACUCAAAGUAUUGUGUAUCCACUCACCUGUUGGUGGAUCUGUGUGAGAUUAUCUUGCCAGUCUGAUCUGAGGCUUGGGAAAGGUUGUGUUGCAGAGUAAAUGAGAGGGAAGUGGUGAUUUUCAGCACUGUGACAACUCUUCUGAGGGUGUCGGGCCAGGUGGGACCCUGGGUAGACGUCACUUGCGUGAGAUGGGCCCCUCCUGCAUCACCGUCUGUCUCUGUCGUGGUGCAGGGCUAGGAGGAAACCUGUGACAUGGGUGAGGAACAAGCUGUAAUGGGGGAAGGGAAAACUUGUAGAACCAGCAGCAGCACGAGGAGGGGGUGCAGGUCCUCCCCCCUGCUGGGCAGCCAGCAUCCAGAAUUCCGGGGCUGUCCCAGGGGAAACGGCCUUUUAAUAAACAGGGGAGGGCAUAGUUGUAAACCGUGUGCAGGUCUUUACGUAUAUGACCCAGCUCAGCGAAGAGAAUGGUUUAGUGUGUGCUUUGAGUAGCUUCACACAUUUGUGAUGGAAACUGGAAGAUCGAGGUCUAGCACAAGGACACUUGAAGAGGAUUAAGUGGGCCAGGGGGGUGUGAUGAGCUGGGGAAGAGUAAUUUUUCCUAUUUUAUUUAGUAAUUUAUGCCCAAUCUCAGUCAAAAAAGGGUUUGUGUCUACAUGCAGAAAUACAUGUAUUAUCAGAUAGAAAACAAGGUGAAAAGUUUAUGGUAAAAAAAAAAAAAGUUUAAAUUGACCUUUGUGAGAUGUGGUGCACAUGAACUCAUGCCAUAGGUCCUAUACCAUUAAAAAGACGGGUUGCACACCUAUUCUUGAGCUAUCAAGUGGCCCAAGAAGAGCUGAGAAUAUGAGUGGUUAAAGAUUUCUGUUCUCUGCCAGAGAGCAGCAGCCUGUUUGUAUUGUGUGUGGCACAGGUCUCUAUUGCUGGCCUUGUCGCAGAUAGCAGAGUCAUAGAGCAGAGGUGUGGGGCACUGCCCCUUCCUGUGACUGACUGGCAAGCAGUUCCUUAGUGUGUAUACUGUACACAGCACGUGCACACAGACAGAACCCUGAGGGAUUCCUCAGUGUGUAUACUGUACACAGCACGUGCACACAGACAGAACCCCGAGGGAUUCCUCAGUGUGUAUACUGUACACAGCACGUGCACACAGACAGAACCCCGAGGGAUUCCUCAGUGUGUACACUGUACACAGGUGUGCACACAGACAGAACCCCGAGGGAUUCCUCAGUGUGUACACUGUACACAGGUGUGCACACAGACGACAGAACCCCGAGGGAUUCCUCAGUGUGUAUACUGUACACAGCACGUGCACACAGACAGAACCCCGAGGGAUUCCUCAGUGUGUAUACUGUACACAGCACGUGCACACAGACAGAACCCCGAGGGAUUCCUCAGUGUGUACACUGUACACAGGUGUGCACACAGACAGAACCCCGAGGGAUUCCUCAGUGUGUACACUGUACACAGGUGUGCACACAGACAGAACCCCGAGGGAUUCCUCAGUGUGUAUACUGUACACAGGUGUGCACACAGAGUACAGAACCCCGAGGGAUUCCUCAGUGUGUAUACUGUACACAGCACAUGCACACAGACGACAGAACCCUGAGGGAUUCCUCAGUGUGUACACUGU